ACCAAUCCUGGCCGCGGAGCCGGGAGCGGCAAGGGAACCAAUGGGGUAGCGAGACGGGCGGGUCGGAGGGCCCGGAGGAGACCCGUGAUGACGUGAGCCACAAUACGUUCGGACGGCCGAGCGCGGCCGAAGCUGGGGAAUUAGCUCAAAUGAUGCGAAGCGCCGCCCGGAGUCGUGAGUCAAUCGACAGGAGAGCGCAGGUUGGCAGCGAGGCUGAGAAGCGCAGGCCAGAGCCAGGCAGCCCAGGACCGGCCCCACAGAGGGAUAGAGGGACCUGGGGCCCCCGGUGACGCACGCAGAUCUGCAUCUUCCCCAGCAGCUGCCACCAACAACACCCCACCAUCACAUGGCCCUUCUGGACAUGCGGGGCUUUUGUGGGGUCACAGCCGGACCCUGCUUCUGGAGCUCUCACAGCUGAAUGGGAACAUGGCUGUCACUGCGUGUCCUGAGGGACUGGAAGGCCGAAGAAAGGGCCCAGCCUUUCUUGACAGGCAGAUGCGUAUGGGUCCUGAUCACUUCCCAGCUGCGGCGUGCCCCCUGGUGACACAUGACCCCGUUCUGCCCUGUGAGGAGGAUGAGGCGGCCACCUGUGAACCAGGAACUGGGCCCCCACGAGACACCAAAUCUGUCAGCGCCUUGAUCUUGGACUGGGCAGCCUCCCAAACUGUGAAAAACAGCUGUCUAAGCCACACCCAGUCUGUGAUAUCUUUGUUAGAGCAGCCGAGGACCAAGACGUUCGUGAUGCGAGAUGCUGCCUUUGGGGGGGAUCUGGGUGAAGGGUACGUGAGAUCUCUCUGUAUUCUUACAACCGCAUGUGAAUUGACAAUGAUCUCAAAAUACAAAGUAAAAAAAGUCACUCUUUCGGCUGGGAAAACAAA